CCUACGGGAGGCAGCAGUGGGGAAUAUUGCACAAUGGGGGGAACCCUGAUGCAGCGACGCCGCGGGAGUGAAGAAGUAUUUCGGGAUGUAAAGCUCUAUCAGCAGGGAAGAAAAUGACGGUACCUGACUAAGAAGCCCCGGCUAACUACGUGCCAGCAGCCGCGGUAAUACGUAGGGGGCAAGCGUUAUCCGGAUUUACUGGGUGUAAAGGGAGCGUAGACGGUUCGGCAAGUCUGAAGUGAAAGCCCAAGGCUCACCCAUGGGACUGCUUUGGAAACUGUCAAACUGGAGUGCAGGAGAGGUUAGCGGUAUUCCUCUUGUCGCGGUGUCAUGCGUAGCUAUUAGGUGGCACCCCAGUGGCGCCGGCGGCUUCCUGGACUGUGCCUGACAUUGCUGCUCG
rnacentral:rRNA from 1 species